GGGUUGUGAGGUUAAGCGACUAAGCGUACACGGUGGAUGCCCUGGCAGUCAGAGGCGAUGAAGGACGUGCUAAUCUGCGAUAAGCGUCGGUAAGGUGAUAUGAACCGUUAUAACCGGCGAUUUCCGAAUGGGGAAACCCAGUGUGUUUCGACACACUAUCAUUAACUGAAUCCAUAGGUUAAUGAGGCGAACCGGGGGAACUGAAACAUCUAAGUACCCCGAGGAAAAGAAAUCAACCGAGAUUCCCCCAGUAGCGGCGAGCGAACGGGGAGCAGCCCAGAGCCUGAAUCAGUGUGUGUGUUAGUGGAAGCGUCUGGAAAGGCGCGCGAUACAGGGUGACAGCCCCGUACACAAAAAUGCACAUGCUGUGAGCUCGAUGAGUAGGGCGGGACACGUGGUAUCCUGUCUGAAUAUGGGGGGACCAUCCUCCAAGGCUAAAUACUCCUGACUGACCGAUAGUGAACCAGUACCGUGAGGGAAAGGCGAAAAGAACCCCGGCGAGGGGAGUGAAAAAGAACCUGAAACCGUGUACGUACAAGCAGUGGGAGCACAGAGCAAUCUGUGUGACUGCGUACCUUUUGUAUAAUGGGUCAGCGACUUAUAUUCUGUAGCAAGGUUAACCGAAUAGGGGAGCCGAAGGGAAACCGAGUCUUAACUGGGCGUUAAGUUGCAGGGUAUAGACCCGAAACCCGGUGAUCUAGCCAUGGGCAGGUUGAAGGUUGGGUAACACUAACUGGAGGACCGAACCGACUAAUGUUGAAAAAUUAGCGGAUGACUUGUGGCUGGGGGUGAAAGGCCAAUCAAACCGGGAGAUAGCUGGUUCUCCCCGAAAGCUAUUUAGGUAGCGCCUCGUGAAUUCAUCUCCGGGGGUAGAGCACUGUUUCGGCAAGGGGGUCAUCCCGACUUACCAACCCGAUGCAAACUGCGAAUACCGGAGAAUGUUAUCACGGGAGACACACGGCGGGUGCUAACGUCCGUCGUGAAGAGGGAAACAACCCAGACCGCCAGCUAAGGUCCCAAAGUCAUGGUUAAGUGGGAAACGAUGUGGGAAGGCCCAGACAGCCAGGAUGUUGGCUUAGAAGCAGCCAUCAUUUAAAGAAAGCGUAAUAGCUCACUGGUCGAGUCGGCCUGCGCGGAAGAUGUAACGGGGCUAAACCAUGCACCGAAGCUGCGGCAGCGACGCUUAUGCGUUGUUGGGUAGGGGAGCGUUCUGUAAGCCUGUGAAGGUGUACUGUGAGGUAUGCUGGAGGUAUCAGAAGUGCGAAUGCUGACAUAAGUAACGAUAAAGCGGGUGAAAAGCCCGCUCGCCGGAAGACCAAGGGUUCCUGUCCAACGUUAAUCGGGGCAGGGUGAGUCGACCCCUAAGGCGAGGCCGAAAGGCGUAGUCGAUGGGAAACAGGUUAAUAUUCCUGUACUUGGUGUUACUGCGAAGGGGGGACGGAGAAGGCUAUGUUGGCCGGGCGACGGUUGUCCCGGUUUAAGCGUGUAGGCUGGUUUUCCAGGCAAAUCCGGAAAAUCAAGGCUGAGGCGUGAUGACGAGGCACUACGGUGCUGAAGCAACAAAUGCCCUGCUUCCAGGAAAAGCCUCUAAGCAUCAGGUAACAUCAAAUCGUACCCCAAACCGACACAGGUGGUCAGGUAGAGAAUACCAAGGCGCUUGAGAGAACUCGGGUGAAGGAACUAGGCAAAAUGGUGCCGUAACUUCGGGAGAAGGCACGCUGAUAUGUAGGUGAAGUCCCUCGCGGAUGGAGCUGAAAUCAGUCGAAGAUACCAGCUGGCUGCAACUGUUUAUUAAAAACACAGCACUGUGCAAACACGAAAGUGGACGUAUACGGUGUGACGCCUGCCCGGUGCCGGAAGGUUAAUUGAUGGGGUUAGCGCAAGCGAAGCUCUUGAUCGAAGCCCCGGUAAACGGCGGCCGUAACUAUAACGGUCCUAAGGUAGCGAAAUUCCUUGUCGGGUAAGUUCCGACCUGCACGAAUGGCGUAAUGAUGGCCAGGCUGUCUCCACCCGAGACUCAGUGAAAUUGAACUCGCUGUGAAGAUGCAGUGUACCCGCGGCAAGACGGAAAGACCCCGUGAACCUUUACUAUAGCUUGACACUGAACAUUGAGCCUUGAUGUGUAGGAUAGGUGGGAGGCUUUGAAGUGUGGACGCCAGUCUGCAUGGAGCCGGCCUUGAAAUACCACCCUUUAAUGUUUGAUGUUCUAACGUGGACCCGUAAUCCGGGUUGCGGACAGUGUCUGGUGGGUAGUUUGACUGGGGCGGUCUCCUCCUAAAGAGUAACGGAGGAGCACGAAGGUUGGCUAAUCCUGGUCGGACAUCAGGAGGUUAGUGCAAUGGCAUAAGCCAGCUUGACUGCGAGCGUGACGGCGCGAGCAGGUGCGAAAGCAGGUCAUAGUGAUCCGGUGGUUCUGAAUGGAAGGGCCAUCGCUCAACGGAUAAAAGGUACUCCGGGGAUAACAGGCUGAUACCGCCCAAGAGUUCAUAUCGACGGCGGUGUUUGGCACCUCGAUGUCGGCUCAUCACAUCCUGGGGCUGAAGUAGGUCCCAAGGGUAUGGCUGUUCGCCAUUUAAAGUGGUACGCGAGCUGGGUUUAGAACGUCGUGAGACAGUUCGGUCCCUAUCUGCCGUGGGCGCUGGAGAACUGAGGGGGGCUGCUCCUAGUACGAGAGGACCGGAGUGGACGCAUCACUGGUGUUCGGGUUGUCAUGCCAAUGGCACUGCCCGGUAGCUAAAUGCGGAAGAGAUAAGUGCUGAAAGCAUCUAAGCACGAAACUUGCCCCGAGAUGAGUUCUCCCUGACUCCUUGAGAGUCCUGAAGGAACGUUGAAGACGACGACGUUGAUAGGCCGGGUGUGUAAGCGCAGCGAUGCGUUGAGCUAACCGGUACUAAUGAACCGUGAGGCUUAACCUUACAACGCCGAAG
rnacentral:rRNA from 1 species